rnacentral:rRNA from 1 species
AACGAACGCUGGCGGCAUGCCUAACACAUGCAAGUCGAACGGGAUCCUAGCUUGCUAGGUGAGAGUGGCGGACGGGUGAGUAACACGUGGGAAUCUGCCUUUUGGUUCGGGAUAACCGCGGGAAACUGCGGCUAAUACCGAAUGCCCUCGAGAGAGGAAAGAUUUAUCGCCAGAAGAGGAGCCCGCGUCCGAUUAGGUAGUUGGUGGGGUAAAAGGCCUACCAAGCCGACGAUCGGUAGCUGGUCUGAGAGGAUGAUCAGCCACACUGGGACUGAGAUACGGCCCAGACUCCUACGGGAGGCAGCAGUGGGGAAUAUUGGACAAUGGGGGCAACCCUGAUCCAGCAAUGCCGCGUGAGUGAUGAAGGCCUUAGGGUUGUAAAGCUCUUUUGCCAGGGAAGAUGAUGACUGUACCUGGAGAAUAACGCCCGGCUAACUUCGUGCCAGCAGCCGCGGUAAU